rnacentral:rRNA from 1 species
AACUUUCAACAACGGAUCUCUUGGCUCUCGCAUCGAUGAAGAACGCAGCGAAAUGCGAUACGUAAUGUGAAUUGCASAAUUCAGUGAAUCAUCGAAUCUUUGAACGCACCUUGCGCCCCUU